GGGGAUGUAGCUCAGUGGUAGAGCGCACGCUUCGCAUGCGUGAGGCCCCGGGUUCGAACCCCGGCAUCUCCA